UCCUACGGGAGGCAGCAGUGGGGAAUUUUCCGCAAUGGGCGAAAGCCUGACGGAGCAACGCCGCGUGAGGGAUGAAGGCCUCUGGGCUGUAAACCUCUUUUAUCAAGGAAGAAGAUCUGACGGUACUUGAUGAAUAAGCCACGGCUAAUUCCGUGCCAGCAGCCGCGGUAAUACGGGAGUGGCAAGCGUUAUCCGGAAUUAUUGGGCGUAAAGCGUCCGCAGGCGGCCCAACAAGUCUGCUGUUAAAAAGUGGAGCUCAACUCCAUCAUGGCAGUGGAAACUGUUGGGCUAGAGUGUGGUAGGGGCAGAGGGAAUUCCCGGUGUAGCGGUGAAAUGCGUAGAUAUCGGGAAGAACACCAGUGGCGAAGGCGCUCUGCUGGGCCAUCACUGACGCUCAUGGACGAAAGCCAGGGGAGCGAAAGGGAUUAGAUACCCCUGUAGUCCUGGCCGUAAACGAUGAACACUAGGUGUCGGGGGAAUCGACCCCUCCGGUGUCGUAGCCAACGCGUUAAGUGUUCCGCCUGGGGAGUACGCACGCAAGUGUGAAACUCAAAUGAAUUGACGG
rnacentral:rRNA from 1 species